ensembl:lncRNA
UGGAAGAAGGAAAGAAGAAAGGAAAGGAGAGUGGAAGAAGGAAAGAAGAAGAGUGGAAAAAGGAAAGAAUAAUAUUCCUAGUUAUACAGUUGAAUGGAGAGGGACAGAGAGAAGAGGAGCCUUGGAACCUUGGCGCAGGUGUCAGUGAAGCACAGGGCAACAGAGUGAUAUCAAGGACUCCAUCGCCAUGGCGAUGUGUUAAGGAGGAUGGUGUCUCCUGGGUUAUAUGCUUUUGGAUAUACUGCUAAGUGAGGUAAGUGUGCGUGUUUGUGCAUAGCUCCUUUUUCUUGUGUAAAUUACUUUGUGUGUCUCAGCAUGUUUGGCUGAGACAGUAGGAGCUAUGCUUUUUUUUUGGUUUAUAUAUAACUUCAGAAGACCAUUCAAGCUGUAUGUGUUGUUU